UUCCGGUUGAUCCUGCCGGACCUGACUGCUAUUGGAGUGGGACUAAGUCACGCUAGACAAAGGUGCGGAAUGGAGCACCUGGCGUACGACUCAGUAACACGUAGUCAACCUACCCUAAGGACGAGGACAACCACGGGAAACUGUGGAUAAUACUCGAUAAGAAAUUUGGCCUGGAACGGUAUCUUUCACAAAACCGGAUCGCCGUGAGACACGGGCCUUAGGAUGGGGCUGCGGCCGAUUAUGCUAGAUGGCGGUGUAAAGGACCACCAUGGCUACGAUCGGUAUGGGCGAUGGAAGUCGGAGCCCAGAGUCGGCUACUGAGACAAGGAGCCGAGCUUUACGAAGCUUAGCGGUCGCGAAAACUCGCCAAUGCACGAAAGUGUGAGUGAGCUACUCCAAGUGACAUUCUUACGGAUGUCUGUCGCACAGUCUUACCAGCUGUGAAAGGAAGGAGAGGGCAAGGCUGGUGCCAGCCGCCGCGGUAAAACCAGCUCUUCGAGUGGUCAUGGACGAAUAUUGGGUCUAAGCGCUCGUAGCCGGACAAGUAGGUUCUUGGUUAAACCCGACAGCAUAACUGUUGGCAUGCUGGGAAUACCGCUAGUCUUGGGAGCGGGAGAGGACAGAGGUAGUCAUAGGGCAGGGGUGAAAUCCAGUGAUCCUAUGGCGACCACCGAUGGCGAAGGCAUCUGUCUGGAACGUAUCCGACGGUGAGGGGCGAAAGCUAGGGGAGCGACCCGGAUUAGAUACCCGGUUAGUCCUAGCCGUAAACGAUGCGGACUAGGUGUUACGGCGGCCAAGAGCCACCGUAGUGCCACAGUGAAGACGUUAAGUCCGCCACCUGGGGAGUACGGAUGCAAGUCUGAAACUUAAAGGAAUUGACGGGGGCGCACCACCAGGAGUGAAGCCUGCGGUUUAAUUGGAUUCAACGCCGGGA
rnacentral:rRNA from 1 species